GACGAACGCUGGCGGCGUGCCUAAUACAUGCAAGUUGAGCGAUGAAGAUUGGUGCUUGCCCCAAUUUGAAGAGCAGCGAACGGGUGAGUAACGCGUGGGGAAUCUGCCUUUGAGCGGGGGACAACAUUUGGAAACGAAUGCUGAUACCGCAUAACAACUUUAAACAUAAGUUUUAAGUUUGAAAGAUGCAAUUGCAUCACUCAAAGAUGAUCCCGCGUUGUAUUAGCUAGUUGGUGAGGUAAAGGCUCACCAAGGCGAUGAUACAUAGCCGACCUGAGAGGGUGAUCGGCCACAUUGGGACUGAGACACGGCCCAAACUCCUACGGGAGGCAGCAGUAGGGAAUCUUCGGCAAUGGACGAAAGUCUGACCGAGCAACGCCGCGUGAGUGAAGAAGGGUUUCGGAUCGUAAAACUCUGUUGGUAGAGAAGAACGUUGGUGAGAGUGGAAAGCUCAUCAAGUGACGGUAACUACCCAGAAAGGGACGGCUAACUACGUG
rnacentral:rRNA from 1 species